CCCUUAGAUGUUCUGGGCCGCACACGCGCUACACUGAAGGAGGCAGCGUGUACUCCUGGAUCGAAAGAUUUGGGUAACCCGCGAAUCUCCUUCGUGCUAGGGAUUGAGGUUUGCAAUUAUCCUUCAUGAACGAGGAAUUCCCAGUAAGUGCAAGUCAUAAGCUUGCGCUGACUACGUCCCUGCCCUUUGUACACACCGCCCGUCGCUACUACCGAUUGAAUGAUUUAGUGAGGACUUCGGACUGGGACCGAUGCGGCUUUCGGGCUGCGUCGGUAUUCUGGAAAGAUGUCCAAACUGUAUCAUUUAGAGGAAGUAAAAGUCGUAGCA
rnacentral:rRNA from 1 species